AUUGAACGCUGGCGGCAGGCCUAACACAUGCAAGUCGAGCGAGCCGCGGACUGGUGAGUAAUGUCUGGGAAACUGCCUGAUGGAGGGGGAUAACUACUGGACACGGUAUCUAAUACCGCCUACCAUCAUAUGUUCCCAGAUGGGAUUAGCUAGUAGGUGGGGUAACGGCUCACCUAGGCGACGAUCCCUAGCUGGUCUGAGAGGAUGACCAGCCACACUGGAACUGAGACACGGUCCAGACUCCUACGGGAGGCAGCAUUGGGGAAUAUUGCACAAUGGGCGAAAGCCUGAUGCAGCCAUGCCGCGUGUAUGAAGAAGGCCUUCGGGUUGUAAAGUACUUUCAGCGGGGAGGCGUUAGCCGAAGAAGAAGCAACGGCUAACUCCGUGCCAGCAGCCGCGGUAAUAG
rnacentral:rRNA from 1 species